UAGGGAAUCUUCCGCAAUGGGCGAAAGCCUGACGGAGCAACGCCGCGUGAGUGAUGAAGGUCUUCGGAUCGUAAAACUCUGUUAUUAGGGAAGAACAAAUGUGUAAGUAACUAUGCACGUCUUGACGGUACCUAAUCAGAAAGCCACGGCUAACUACGUGCCAGCAGCCGCGGUAAUACGUAGGUGGCAAGCGUUAUCCGGAAUUAUUGGGCGUAAAGCGCGCGUAGGCGGUUUUUUAAGUCGGAUGUAAAAGCCCACGGCUCAACCGUAGGGGGGCAUUGGAAACUGGAAAACUUGAGUGCAGAAGAGGAAAGUAGAAUUCCAUGUGUAGCGGUGAAAUGCGCAGAGAUAUGGAGGAACACCAGUGGAGAAGGCGACUUUCUGGUCUGGAACUGACGCUGAUGUGCGAAAGCGUGGGGAUCAAACGGG
rnacentral:rRNA from 1 species